UUCGGCUACAUUAAGGUUAUCGUCAAUGCCCAACAACGCGAUAAUUUCCACCGGUAAACAACGCGUUGAAUUCAGUGGCCACACUAACGGUCAACGUCAAAUGCCAUUUACAAUGCCGUUUACAUUGGCGUUAAAAUGUCCUUAUUUUAAGAUGGAUGUUGACGCCAUAUUUGAAUGGAUAGAAAG